rfam:Theobroma cacao cultivar Matina 1-6 chromosome 10, whole genome shotgun sequence.
UAGUUAGCGAUUAUUACAAAAAUAAUUCUGCGUUCUGACUUACUUAAUUUGGGCAUUACAAACCUCUUAUUACAACAUAGAAUUUGAGUUAC